GUCACGGCGACAGUAAAUAACUCAUGGAUGCCCGUCGUCACGGCGGCAGUAAAUGACUCCUGGAUGCCCGUCGUCAUGGCGACAGUACCUAAAUGACUCCUGGUCCAGUUUUUUUCAUUGUUUGUUUUCUGCUUCUCUGCGUUUCUUUGUGGAUUUUGUUUGUCUAUUUUUUGGCCCUGGGCUUAGACUGUGUGUGUGCGUGUGUAUGUGUGUGUGUGUUUGUGUGUCUGCGUGCAUGUGUGUGUGUGCAUGUGUGUGCGUGCGUGUGUGUGUGAGAACACAUAGCUUAUGACAGGCCAGUGGUCUUCAGCCCAUUUCCAAAGCAGAUCAGUGAUGAGUUCAUUUAUCUUCACUCAAACACAAUGAUGAUGAUGAUGAUGAUGAUGAUGAUGAUGAUGAUGAUGAUGAUGAGUUCAUUUAUCGUCUGGGCGGAGUCAAACAUAGCCCACUCAAACACAAUGAUGAUGAUGAUGAUGUUCGAAAGCAACACUUUCUGUAUAUUUUUUAAAUAUAAAUACUUAUUUUUUAAUAUCGGGGAAUCAUUUCAAUUAGGUGUGCUAGAUGCACAGUGACCUAGGUGUGUGUGUGUGUGUGUUUCUGUACUAGAUGCACAGAUGUCAUUUAAAAAGGUUCUGUGACCAUGUGUCUGUGUGUGUGUGAGAGUGUGAGAGUGUGUGUGUGAGUGUGUGAGUGUGUGUGUGUGUGUGUGAGAGAGAGAGAGACUGUGUGUGUGUGUGUGUGUGUGUGUGAGAGUGUGUGUGUGUGUGUGUGUGAGAGUGUGUGAGUGUGUGUGUGUGUUUGUGUGUGUGAGAGAGUGUGUUUGUGAGAGAGUGUGUGUGUGUGUGUGUGUGUGUGUGAAAGAGUGUGUGUGUGUGUGUGUGUGUGUGUGUGUGUGUGUGUGUGUCCCUACCCAUCACAUGGCUCCAUCCUCUGGGUCUCUCCUCAGCUGUGUUAACACAAUAUAUUAUAUUUGUAUGUUUUUUUAUUUUUUUAUUUAUUUUUCUAUUCUUGCCUUUUGAGUGGCAGUCUCUGGUGUUCCCGUGUGUGUUCCUCUCUCUGCGGAGUGUACCGGUGUGUGUUCCCCCACCCAGCCGUGAGGCUCUCUCUCGCCCAGGCCGGGAAGAGCGUUGUGGGGCACCUCUUGGGCACCUCUUGGGCACCUCUGGGGCACCUCUGGGGCAACUCUGGGGCAACUCUGGGGCAACUCUUGGGCACCUCUUGGGCAACUCUGGGGCACCUCUGCCUUCCUGCCCGAUGGGUGUCAGACUGGCCUCCUCUGGCGUUAAGCUAUUCCUGAAGGUCAGAGCGUGAGCGCGUAGGCACUUCCUGCUCCUCCUCUACUCCCUCCUCCUCCAUUUUAGGGUCACAGAGCUCCUAGGUGGUUUGCUAGCUGCUGGCGUUCCUGUGGUCCCUAGAGCUUCUGGAUCCAUCCCAUAAUAACCCAACGGGUCAGCGACACAUCAGCAGCCCCGUGCCCAGCCCACCUCAGCACACAGCCAGCAGGAUGUUAGCAGCUCAGCGCUGGGGCUAACUCAGUGCUAACUCAGCGCUGGGGCUAACUCAGUGCUAACUUAGCGCUGGGGCUAACUCAGUGCUAACUCAGUGCUAACUCAUUCAUAACUUAGCGCUGGGGCUAACUCAGUGCUAACUCAGUGCUAACUCAGUGCUAACUCAUUCAUAACUUAGCGCUGGGGCUAACUCAGUGCUAACUCAGUGCUAACUCAGUGCUAACUCAGUGCAAACUCAUUCAUAACUUAGCGCCGGGGCUAACUCAGUGUGUGCUGACUGCUGAGGUGAGGGGUGUGUUUUGGCACUCCCAGCAGCCUUGGAGCUCAGAGGGGUGUGUGUGAGGUGAGGGGUGUGUCUGAGGUGAGGUGUGGGUGGAGCUCAGAGGGGUGUGUGUGAGGUGAGGUGUGUGUCUGAGGUGUGGGUGGAGCUCAGAGGGGUGUGUCUGAGGUAAGGGGUGUGUCUGAGGUGUGGCGUAGGAUGUCCAAACACCUCCCCCUCCCUUUCUCUCUCUAUCUAUCUGCUCCUCUUCUGGCUCAGAUCUGGCUGGUAUCUGGCUGGGAUCUGCUCCACUGUCAGGGAUCUUUCCGGAGGUUUCCCAGCGGAGCAGUCCAAAGCCUUCAGCACAGAGUCACAGAGUGUGUGUGUGUGUGUGUGUGUGUGUGUGUGUGUGUGUGUGGGAUCUUUCCGGAUGGUUCCCAGCGGAGCAGUCCAAAGCCUUCAGCACAGAGUCAACCCUGUGAUGCUAAUGUGGACAUAGAAACCUUUCACCUUUCACCUUUCACCUUUCACCUUUAACCUUUCCGUGAAUGUUUCUCAUAUCCUUGUUUCUGUCUUUGUUUCCUGACGUGGUACUUGUAAAAUACCGCAAGUAAAAGUAAAGAAAUGCCUGCUUUUUUAAUAUUAAUAUAUGUACACACACACACGCACACACACGCACACAGUACAAGACAUUCUCUGCUUUUUUUAUAUUAAUAUAUGUAUGUACAAGACAUUCUCUGCUUCAUCUAGCCUUCUCUCAAGUGCGCCAUUGUACUUCUCCUCCUCUCCUCUACUCUCCUCUUCUUCUCCUCUCCUCUACUCUCCUUCUCCUCUCCUCCUCUCCUCCAGUGCACUUUCCUCCUCUCCUCCUCUCCUCUCUCCUCCUCUCCUCCAGUGCACUUUCCUCCUCUCCUUCUCUCCUCCUCUCCUUCUCUCCUCUUCUCCUCCUCUUCUCUUCUUCUCCAGUGCACUCUCCUCUUCUCCUCCUCUUCUCUUCUUCUCCAGUGCACUCUCCUCUUCUCCUCCUCUCCUCUCCUCUUGUCUCUUGUCUGUCGUUCUUCUCCUCAUUCCUUCUUCACUCAUUCCAACUGUUGACAGAAUGUUCCAGAUAAAAAUGUUAUCUUUUUAAUGUACAUAUGUUUUGUAUAUGCUUUUGCAAGUGCAUCAAAUCUGUUUUUUUUUCACAUUCAAAACUGUCAUACGUGCCUGUUCUGCAAUAAAGCCUUAUUUUC
ensembl:lncRNA